GUGUUCUACAACAUACACGUGGACAGAGAACUUGGGAGAGUUCUCUGGGGAUCAGACUCAGGUAGUCAGGCUUGAUAGUAAGUACCCUUACCUGAUGAGCCAUCUUGACAGCCCUAUUGCUUUCUUAACCACAAACCUAAGUAAGCUAAAGGGGUCUUUGGAGUCCUGCAUAUACAGACAUUAUAGUGGCAAUGUAUAUACCACUAUGCUCCCGGCUCCAGCCACCAGGUCUCCUUUCUAUUCCUCAAACUGCCUCAAGUCUUUUCCAUCUGUUGACUUUUGACCCGCAGUUCCUCUGCAGGAAACUCCCGUUGGGUUUCAGCUUCAGAGGCACCUUAAAGAGGCUCUCCCUACUGAAAUUCUACUGAUUUAGUUCACAGUAAAAUUAGUGUGAACUUUAAUGUCUGUUACCUGAACAGCUAGAGACCUUGUCAUUUUGUUCUCUUCUGUACUUGUGCCUAGACUAGCACCUUUCUGUUUGUUGGAAUGUGUGUGUGUGUGUGUGUGUGUGUGUGUGUGUGUUUGAGACGGGGUCUCUACAUAACUCCAGCUACUGGACCAGCCUGGCUUCAGACUCACAGAGAUCUGCCGGCCUCUGCCUGCUGUCCUGGGAUUAAAGGCUUGUACCACCACAGAAAUAGCACCUUAUUAAUAAUCAAUACUCAAUAAACAUUUACUAGAUAAACAAA
rnacentral:lncRNA from 1 species